UACGUAGGGUGCAAGCGUUGUCCGGAAUUAUUGGGCGUAAAGAGCUCGUAGGCGGCUUGUCGCGUCGGCUGUGAAAACCUGGGGCUCAACCCCGGGCUUGCAGCCGAUACGGGCAAGCUAGAAUUCGGUAGGGGAGACUGGAAUUCCUGGUGUAGCGGUGAAAUGCGCAGAUAUCAGGAGGAACACCGAUGGCGAAGGCAGUGGGCUGGGCCGGCACUGACGCUGAGGAGCGAAAGCGUGGGGAGCGAACAGG
rnacentral:rRNA from 1 species